rnacentral:rRNA from 1 species
ACAAACGCUGGCGGCGUGCCUAAUACAUGCAAGUCGAACGGGGAAAGCCUUCGGGUGAGUACUAGUGGCGCACGGGUGAGUAACACGUGGGUAAUUUUCCAUAGAGUGGAGGAUAACUAGUCGAAAGAUUAGCUAAUACUCCAUAAGACCACAGGAUCUGCGGAUCUAGGGGUCAAAGGUUUUUCGCUCUAUGAUAAGCCCGCGCAGGAUUAGCUAGUUGGUGAGGUAAUGGCUCACCAAGGCGACGAUCUUUAGCUGGUCUGAGAGGAUGAUCAGCCACACUGGAACUGAGACACGGUCCAGACUCCUACGGGAGGCAGCAGUAGGGAAUAUUGCACAAUGGAGGAAACUCUGAUGCAGCGACGCCGCGUGAGUGAUGAAGGACUUCGGUUCGUAAAGCUCUGUCGUAUGGGAAUAAGAAAGUGAAUGUACCAUGCAAGAAAGGAUCGGCUAACUUCGU